UGAAAACUGUUCCUGAAAACAUUUGAAGAGAGAAAUAGGCAAUGCAGUAACAUAAUCUUGUUUCAUAUUUGAUCAGUGCUGCCUAGUUUGACACUUUGAUCAGAGUUCACGCGCCGUCAUUGACACUGCGUUAGAGACU